rnacentral:rRNA from 1 species
AAUCAACGCUGGCGGCGCGCCUCAGACAUGCAAGUCGAACGAUUAAAGCUCUCUUCGGAGAGUGUAUAGAGUGGCGCACGGGUGAGUAACACGUAAGUAAUCUACCUUUGAGUGGGGAAUAACAGUCGGAAACGGCUGCUAAUACCGCAUAAUGCAGCGGCAUCGCAAGAUGACAGUUGUUAAAGGAGCAAUCCGCUUAAAGAGGAGCUUGCGGCAGAUUAGCUUGUUGGUAAGGUAACGGCUUACCAAGGCUACGAUCUGUAUCCGGUCUAAGAGGACGGUCGGACACACUGACACUGAAUAACGGGUCAGACUCCUACGGGAGGCAGCAGUCGGGAAUUUUGGGCAAUGGGCGAAAGCCUGACCCAGCAACGCCGCGUGAAGGAUGAAGUAUUUCGGUAUGUAAACUUCGAAAGAAUAGGAAGAAUAAAUGACGGUACUAUUUAUAAGCUCCGGCUAACUACGUGCCAGCCGCCGCA